rnacentral:rRNA from 1 species
GUGUCAGCCGCCGCGGUAAUACGUAGGUGGCGAGCGUUAUCCGGAAUUACUGGGCGUAAAGGGCCCGCAGGCGGCUUCUUAAGUCUGACGUGAAAGCUCCUGGCUUAACUGGGAGAGGUCGUUGGAGACUGGGGGGCUUGAGGCGAUGAGAGGGGUGUGGAAUUCCCGGUGUAGUGGUGGAAUGCGUAGAUAUCGGGAGGAACACCAGUGGCGAAAGCGGCACCCUGGCAUCGGCCUGACGCUGAGGGGCGAAGGCGUGGGGAGCGAACGGGAUUAGAAACCCGUGUAGUCC